GAACUAAAGCUAGCCCAGAAACCACCAUAUUUCAACUAUUUUAAAACUAUUAAACAAAACAUUUAUUUACUCUUUCAAAGUAUAGGAGAUAGAAAUUUAUUUAUUGGCGCUAUAGAGAGAGUACCGUAAGGGAACGAUGAAAGAAUACCUAAAAGUAAUAAAAAGCAAAGAUUAACCCUUGUACCUUUUGCAUAAUGAUUUAACUAGAAAAUUUUAGCAAAGAGAACUUAAGUUAAAUACCCCGAAACCAGACGAGCUACUUGUGAACAGCAUACGGAGCGAACUCGUCUAUGUGGCAAAAUAGUGAGAAGAUUUGCAAGUAGAGGUGACAAGCCUAACGAGCCUGGUGAUAGCUGGUUGUCCAGGAAAAGAAUGUAAGUUCAACUUUAAAAAUACCUAAAAAACCGCUAAUUUUAAUGUAUUUUUAAAAGCUAGUCUAAAAGGGUACAGCUUUUUAGACCGAGGAUACAACCUUACUUAGAGAGUAAAAACAACCAACACCAUAGUUGGCUUAAAAGCAGCCAUCAAUUAAGAAAGCGUUCAAGCUCAACAUUAAACAGAGUUUUAAUUCCAAUAGUCAACAAGGAACUCCUAACCCAAUACUGGACUAAUCUAUUAAUUAAUAGAAGCAAUAAUGUUAAUAUGAGUAACAAGAAAUAUUUCUCCCUGCAUAAGCUUAUGUCAGCAACGGAUAUUCUACUGACAGUUAACACUUAAUAAAUUUAACCCACCAAUGAACAAUUUAUUAAAUUUACUGUUAACCCAACACAGGCAUGCAUUAAGGAAAGAUUAAAAGAAGCAAAAGGAACUCGGCAAACACGAGCCCCGCCUGUUUACCAAAAACAUCACCUCUAGCAUUACUAGUAUUAGAGGCACUGCCUGCCCAGUGACAUUAGUUAAACGGCCGCGGUAUCCUGACCGUGCAAAGGUAGCAUAAUCAUUUGUUCUCUAAAUAAGGACUUGUAUGAACGGCCACACGAGGGUUCUACUGUCUCUUGCUUCCAAUCAGUGAAAUUGACCUCCCCGUGCAGAGGCGGGGAUGAACAAAUAAGACGAGAAGACCCUAUGGAGCUUCAAUUAACUAGCCCAAAGAAAAUACAAUUAACCACCAAGGGAUAACAACACUCUACCUGGGCUAACAAUUUCGGUUGGGGUGACCUCGGAGAACAGAAAAACCUCCGAGUGACUAAAAUUUAGAUCUGCCGAUCAAAAUGUAGUGUCAUUUAUUGAUCCAAAGUUAUUUGAUCAACGGAACAAGUUACCCUAGGGAUAACAGCGCAAUCCUAUUCAAGAGUCCAUAUCGACAAUAGGGUUUACGACCUCGAUGUUGGAUCAGGACAUCCCAAUGGUGCAGCCGCUAUUAAAGGUUCGUUUGUUCAACGAUUAAAGUCCUACGUGAUCUGAGUUCAGACCGGAGCAAUCCAGGUCGGUUUCUAUCUAUUUGUUAAUUUCUCCCAGUACGAAAGGACAAGAGAAAUAAGGCCUACCCUGCAGGGGCGCCUUAGAAUUAAUUAAUGAUAUAAUCUUAACUUAACUAGUUCAAAAAAACACAGCCCUAGACCAGGGCUU
rnacentral:rRNA from 2 species